rnacentral:rRNA from 1 species
UACGUAGGUGACCAGCGUUGUCCGGAUUUACUGGGCGUAAAGAGCGCGCAGGCGGUCGUCCAAGUCGCGUGUGAAAGCCCCCGGCUCAACUGGGGAGGGUCACGCGAUACUGGUCGACUCGAAGGCAGGAGAGGGUAGUGGAAUUCCCGGUGUAGUGGUGAAAUGCGUAGAUAUCGGGAAGAACACCAGUGGCGAAGGCGACUACCUGGCCUGUUCUUGACGCUGAGGCGCGAAAGCUAGGGGAGCAAACGGG